rnacentral:rRNA from 1 species
GNGAGGAUAUUGCGCAAUGGACGAAGUCUGACGCAGCCAUCCCGCGUGCAGGACAGACGGCCCUAUGGGCUGUAAACUGCUUUUCUGGAGGAAGAAAGUUAGCUAUUCGCUAGUUAAUUGCCGGUACUCCAGGAAAAAGCAUCGGCUAACUCCGUGCCAGCAGCCGCGGUAAUACGGAGGAUGCAAGCGUUAUCCGGAAUCACUGGGUUUAAAGGGUGCGCAGGCGGAAUAGCAAGUCAGAGGUGAAAGGCUUGAGCUCAACUGAAGAAUUGCCUUUGAUACUGUUAUUCUUGAGUGUAGUUGAAGUGGGCGGAAUAUAGCAUGUAGCNGGUGAAAUGCAUAGAUAUGCUAUAGAACACCAAUUGCGAAGGCAGCUCGCUAAACUAUAACUGACGCUGAGGCACGAAAGCGUGGGGAGCGAACAGGAUUAGAUACCCUGGUAGUCCACGCCGUAAACGAUGAACACUCGCUGUUGGCGAUACACAGUCAGCGGCUUAGCGAAAGCGUUAAGUGUUCCACCUGGGAAUUACGAUCGCAAGGNUGAAACUCAAAGGAAUUGACGGGGGCCCGCACAAGCGGUGGAGUNUGNNGGUUNAAUUCNAUGCANCNCGAGGAACCUUACCUGGGCUUGACAUCCCGGGAGCCCCUUGGAAACAAGGGGGNGNCCNUUNGGGAACCC